GACGAACGCUGGCGGCGUGCUUAACACAUGCAAGUCGAACGGAAAGGCCCUGCUUUUGUGGGGUGCUCGAGUGGCGAACGGGUGAGUAACACGUGAGUAACCUGCCCUUGACUUUGGGAUAACUUCAGGAAACUGGGGCUAAUACCGGAUAGGAGCUCCUGCUGCAUGGUGGGGGUUGGAAAGUUUCGGCGGUUGGGGAUGGACUCGCGGCUUAUCAGCUUGUUGGUGGGGUAGUGGCUUACCAAGGCUUUGACGGGUAGCCGGCCUGAGAGGGUGACCGGCCACAUUGGGACUGAGAUACGGCCCAGACUCCUCCGGGGGGCAGCGGGGGGGAAUAUUGCACAAGGGGCGGAAGCCGGAUGCAGCAACGCCGGGGGGGGGAUGCCGGCCUUGGGGUUGUAAACCGCUUUCGCCGGUGACGAAGCGUGGGUGACGGUAAUGGGUAAAGAAGCACCGGCUAAUUACGU
rnacentral:rRNA from 1 species